AACGCGAAGAACCUUACCUGGGUUUGACAUCCCCUGACAGCUGUAGAAAUACAGUCUCUGUAGCAAUACAGCAGGGAGACAGGUGCUGCAUGGCUGUCGUCAGCUCGUGUGGUGACAUGUUGGGUUAAGUCCCGCAACGAGCGCAACCCUUGUCCUUAGUUGCCAGCAUUCAGUUGGGCUCUCUAAGGAGACUGCCGUGGUUAACACGGAGGAAGGUGGGGAUGACGUCAAGUCCUCAUGGCCUUUAUAUCCAGGGCGACACACGUGAUACAAUGGAUGGUACAGAGAGACGCAAAAGGGCAACCUCGAGCAAAUCUCAAAAAGCCAUUCUCAGUUCGGAUUGGAGUCUGCAACUCGACUCCAUGAAGGUGGAAUCGCUAGUAAUCGCGGAUCAGCACGCCGCGGUGAAUAUGUUCCCGGGCCUUGUACACACCGCUAGUC
rnacentral:rRNA from 1 species